UGGGGGAUAUUGCACAAUGGGCGAAAGCCUGAUGCAGCGACGCCGCGUGGGGGAUGAAGGCUUUCGGGUUGUAAACCUCUUUCGCUAUCGAACAAGGCCCGCUUAGGGUGGGUUGAGGGUAGGUGGAGAAGAAGCGCCGGCUAACUACGUGCCAGCAGCCGCGGUAAUACGUAGGGCGCGAGCGUUGUCCGGAAUUAUUGGGCGUAAAGGGCUUGUAGGCGGCUUGUUGCGCCUGCUGUGAAAACGCGGGGCUUAACUUCGCGCGUGCAGUGGGUACGGGCAGGCUUGAGUGUGGUAGGGGUGACUGGAAUUCCAGGUCUAGCGGUGGAAUGCGCAGAUAUCUGGAGGAACACCGAUGGCGAAGGCAGGUCACUGGGCCAUUACUGACGCUGAGGAGCGAAAGCAUGGGUAGCGAACAGG
rnacentral:rRNA from 1 species